UACGUAGGGGGGCAAGCGUUGUCCGGAAUCAUUGGGCGUAAAGCGCGUGUAGGCGGCUCGAUAAGUCUGCUGUGAAAGUCCAGGGCUCAACCCUGGGAUGCCGGUGGAUACUGUCGAGCUCGAGUCCGGAAGAGGCGAGUGGAAUUCCUGGUGUAGCGGUGAAAUGCGCAGAUAUCAGGAGGAACACCAAUGGCGAAGGCAGCUCGCUGGGACGUGACUGACGCUGAGACGCGAAAGCGUGGGGAGCAAACAGG
rnacentral:rRNA from 1 species